GACGAACCGUGCGAACGUUAUUCGGAAUCACUGGGCUUAAAGCGCGUGUAGGCGGGUCGGCGCGUCGGAUGCUGAAAGCCCCCGGCUCAACCGGGGAAGCGGCGCCGAGACGGCCGGCCUGGAGGGGGGUAGGGGGCGCCGGAACUCACGGUGGAGCGGUGAAAUGCGUUGAGAUCGUGAGGAAGACCAGUGGCGAAGGCGGGUCUCUGGACAGUUCCUGACACUGAGGCACGAAGGCCAGGGGAGCAAACGGG
rnacentral:rRNA from 1 species